rnacentral:rRNA from 1 species
UGAGACUCGAGACCGGGAAGGGUAUGAGGUAUUCCUGAGGGAGCGGUAAAAUGCUAUAAUCUCAGGAGGACCACCUGUGGCGAAGGCGUCAUACUAGAACGGAUCUGACUGUGAGGGACGAAAGCUAGGGGAGCAAACCGGAUUAGAUACCCGAGUAGUCCUAGCCGUAAACGCUGUGAGUUAGGUGUUGCGUAUUCUACGGGAAUGCGCAGUGUCGAAAGGAAGCUAAUAAACUCACCGCCUGGGAAGUACGGUCGCAAGACUGAAACUUUAAGGAAUUGGCGGGGGCGCACCACAAGGGGUGCGGCGUGCGGUUUAAUCUAACUCAACGCAGAGAACCUUACUAGAAGCGACGGCAGGAAGAAGGUCAGUCUGAAGGGCUUACCUGACGAGCCGAGAGGUGGUGCAUGGCCGUCGUCAGCUCGUGCUACGAAGUGUCCAGUUAAGUCUGGCAACGAGCGAGACCUGUAUUUGCAAUUGCUACCGGCUCUUCGGAGGACCGGGCACAUUGCAAGGACUGCCCUGGAAACAGGGAGGAAGGUGCAGGCUACGGUAGGUCUGUAUGCCCCGAAUCUUCUAGGCUACACGCGCGCAACAAUGGUAGGGACAAUGGGAUGCAACCCCGAAAGGGGAAGCUAAACCUCUAAACCCUAUCCUAGUCCAGAUUGAGGAUUGCAAUUCAUCCUCAUGACGACGGAAUCCCUAGUAAUCAGAGUUCAUCAUACUCUGGUGAAUAUGUCCCUGCGCCUUGCACACACCGCCCGUCAAACCAACCGAGCAGGGUUUAGGUAAAACAAAGCUUAUUGGUUUUGUUGAAUCUAAGCUCAGUGAGGCGGGUUAAGUCGUCACAAGGUAGCCGUAGGGGAACCUGCGGCUG